GCUACAUGCUACCGUAUGCUACUCGCGGCGCUAUCCUGCUGAAAGUCAACAGCACACCCUGCGGUCUCGUUGCCGGUCGUCUUACUCAAGAUGGUGCUGACUUUCCUCCUAAAGUACUGCCCUGAGAAGACAUACAGCAGUGGGUUCAGUGUGCUGUUGAGAAAAGCCAGAUACACUGAAACCUGGGUUCCUAUAUCGAGAGCAUGGAACCACAACUUCUCAUCCAGCACUUGGACAUCACAGAGUAUGUCGAGGAAUGUGAAGACCUGGAAGGGGCCCCAACACAGACAGGCAGGACAAAGCCGACCACAUUCAACAAAAUCUGAUGGGCCAACUUCCAAGACACGCCCGGAGUAUAAUCCAAAAUACAGGAGAUUGUUCCGAUUUCCUGGAUAAAUGCCACUUUUCUGUGAACCAUUGUUGGAAUGCUAAAUGCAAGAGCUAAAAUCCACAAGAGGAAGCAGAUCACCUUGGCAUAAAGUGUUCGUCUUAGCCACCUGGCCUUCAUGGUCUUUACCAGGGCCAGGUAACGGUCAACACUUAUCAUGACCAGGGUGAAGAUACUAGUGUAGAAAUUGAUGAGGAUGAUGGAGUUGACCAGUUUGCAUAAUGUGUCUCCGUACGGCCAGUUAAAGUUGUUGAGGAUGUUCAUUGCCCAGAAGGGGAGGGCACACAGGAGGAUAAAGUCAGCCAGCACCAGGUUGCUCAGGUAGAUCUCGGCUACAGUCAGUCGAUCCUUGUGGGCGAAGAACACACACAGGACAAAGAUGUUUAAGAGAAGGCCUAACAGGCACAGCAUGAAGAUGUACGGGGGAAUGAUGGCACGGACAAGCUCCCAUUCUGCAGUGAUAGGAAACUCUGAUGGCAGGGAAGCACUGCUGUUUUCAGACCGCAAUGUCGCCAUAGUUACAAGCAUCAUUGGCUCCAUAGGCUAGAAAACAAAAACAAUUAGGCAUGACUCAUCAGUAAAAUGUUUAAAAUGAGACAAAUUACAUGGUUUAUUUGACCAGACCGAUUCAGAGAAAGACAAUAAGGUAUUGGCUUUAACAAAAAAAGCUAAAUAAUGAUAAAAAUGUUGCCCACAUGAUGACAUUUUCACAUUUAGGGAGCUUCAGUGAGGGAGAAAAUAACAAGCAGCGUUAAUUAACUUUCCUUUAGAUUAACACCGCUUUAAAUAUUUCUCAGUUCCUGAUUGAAAUGUGUUUCCAUGUGGUAGCUUGAAUAAUGCUGUGCCAUCAAUAAGGCUAAACAAAUGUCUACGUCAUUAUAUGUCAAGCUGAGUCUAUGCUGAAAGACUAUGUAAUAUCUCUAGGUAUUUGUAAAGUACAAACGUUGAUGCUCAAGCAGAAAAUAGGAAAGAAUAUGGAGUGGAAAAGUUCUUACCGUGUUCUUCAUGAAAAUGUUCUUCCUAUGGUCAAAAUGCUAAUGAUAAGAGACAAGUCUGGAACAGGGCUCAUGUGUGUACACUGAGAUCCCACUCAGAGUGCAAAGCAAGUCAGAGGAAAGACCUGUUGCAAGAGUUUUUGUAUACAGUUGCAUUCUUCCACAUCCUUCGCCAAGUAUGCAAUAUAUCAACUUGUUUAGGAGAGAGUCAAAGUUUGUUCAAUGCACAAAUUGUGUCGUAGAAAAUCUGAAACUGCAUCGCACUAAACGUGUUGGAGAGUGUUCAACUCCAUCAGUAGACUAUCAAGGAAGAUAGGAAGGUAGUUUUAUGUAUUUUAUUAAACUAAAAAGGAGUUUCUGUGUUAUCAUAACAACAAUCCUCAUGUCCAAAGGGAAAAUAACAUGCAGUUGAUUUUGAUGAGUUUAUCCACCCGAUAAAAUCGAUGAACAGGAUUUGUAUGUUUUUAUUGUGUAA